GACUCAAGGCUGAGAUAGCGAAGGAUUGCAGCAGUCUAGUGCUCAGCAUGGAUGAACAUCAGAGAGUGACUGAUGAAUUUCGUGGGGCAAAAGUUUGGUGGGCUGCCAGCAAAGUAGUUCCACCCGCACGGUCGUCAGUUUCUUUUUAUCCAGAAAAAGAAAAGAGAUACUACAAGCUCAUAUUCCAUAAAAAGUACAGGGAGAUCAUGACUGACAAUUACUUGGAGCAUGUAGUGAAGGAGGGGAAGGAAAUCGGAGUAAGGAACAGGCAAAGGAAGCUUUACACCAACUGCAGCAACCAUAGAUGGCCAAGCCACAAUCAGCCUAUGUGGAGCCAUGUGGCAUUUGAGCAUCCAGCAACAUUUGAGACAAUCGCUUUGGAACCAGAGAAGAAGCAAGAUAUCAUUGAUGAUCUCGACUUUUAGCAAGAGCAAGGAUUAUUAUGCUAGGAUUGGGAAGGUGUGGAAGCGGGGUUAUCUCCUUUAUGGCCCACCAGGAACUGGUAAAUCCACCAUGAUUGCUGCAAUGGCUAAUCUAUUGAGCUAUGAUGUUUAUGAUCUUGAGCUUACAGCAGUGAAGGACAACACCGAGCUGAGGAAGCUUUUGAUUGAGACAACCAAUAAAUCUAUUAUAGUGAUUGAAGAUAUAGAUUGCUCGCUUGAUCUUACAGGUCAGAGGAAGAAGAAAGAGGAGAAAUCCUCUGAAAGCCAGGAGGAUGAGAAGGUGAAGGAAAUUUCCAGGAAGGACAACAGGGAAGAGAGCAGCAAAGUCACCCUCUCAGGGCUUUUGAAUUUCAUUGACGGGCUAUGGUCUGCUUGUGGAGGGGAGAGGCUAAUCGUCUUCACUACAAACUAUGUGGAGAAGCUGGACCCCGCACUAAUAAGAAGGGGUCGAAUGGACAAGCAUAUUGAGUUCUCCUACUGCAGUUUCAAGGCAUUCAAAGUGCUAGCAAAUAAUUACCUGGGUCUUGAGACACAUCCACUGUUUGAAAUGAUUCAACAGUCAAUGGAGGAGACCAAUAUCACGCCUGCUGAUGUUGCAGAGAACCUCAUGCCCAAAUCCCCAACAGAAGAUGCAGAGAAAUGUCUUUU
rnacentral:lncRNA from 1 species